rnacentral:lncRNA from 1 species
UAAAUAGUAAAAAAAAAGACAACGAUACCAAACGAGACCUCAGUAUAAUAAUUCGCAAAGGAAGAAGGUUCUGAAUUAUUAUUAUUAUUUUUUUCAAUAGCAUUGGAUAUGUUGUCCUUGAUUUUGCUGCGGAAAGAAGCGGUUGGGGUUAUACUAGAAGCAAACGAAAAUUGUCGAUUUUGUGAUUUUUUUAUUACUGUAUAAAUAAUUUUUAAAAUUCAUGAAAUUUAGUUUUUAGACACUUUAAAUACUCUAGAUCAACUUUAACGAUUCCGAUAAUUGAUUCGAUAUUUCUAUCAUCUAAAACAACUUAGGAGGACAAAGGUCUCCGUCCUCCUAAUAGUUCUUAUCAUCAAUUUGUAUUUUCUUUUAUUCUUUUA